rnacentral:rRNA from 1 species
UACGUAGGGGGCAAGCGUUGUCCGGAAUUAUUGGGCGUAAAGAGCGUGAAGGCGGCCAGAUAAGUCCGCUGUGAAAUCUCGAGGCUCAACUUCGAGCUGUCGGUGGAAACUAUCUGGCUAGAGUCCGGAAGAGGAGAAUGGAAUUCCUGGUGUAGCGGUGAAAUGCGCAGAUAUCAGGAAGAACACCCGUGGCGAAGGCGGUUCUCUGGGACGGUACUGACGCUGAGACGCGAAAGCGUGGGGAGCGAACAGG